rnacentral:rRNA from 1 species
CACGUAGGGUGCGAGCGUUGUCCGGAAUUAUUGGGCGUAAAGAGCUCGUAGGCGGUGUGUCGCGUCGGCCGUGAAAACCUGCAGCUUAACUGUGGGCUUGCGGUCGAUACGGGCAUCACUGGAGUUCGGCAGGGGGAGACUGGAAUUCCUGGUGUAGCGGUGAAAUGCGCAGAUAUCAGGAGGAACACCGGUGGCGAAGGCGGCUCUCUGGACCGAGACUG